rnacentral:rRNA from 1 species
CACGUGCUACAAUGGCGUAAACAAAGGGAGGCAAGCGAGUAAUCGUAAGCAAACCCCAAAAAUAACGUCUCAGUUCGGACUGUGGUCUGCAACUCGACCACACGAAGCUGGAAUCGCUAGUAAUCGCGAAUCAGCAUGUCGCGGUGAAUACGUUCCCGGGUCUUGUACACACCGCCCGUCAAACCAUGAGAGUCACCAACACCCGAAGUCCGCUUUGGCGGCCUAAGGUGGGGGAGAUGAUUGGGGUUAAGUCGUAACAAGGUAGC